UACUUGAUGACAUGAAUAUUGGUUCUAUGGUUAAGAAUAUAUGAUAUUGUUUUAUAGUUAGGAAAUAUGCUAUUGUUUGGUUUGUUUGAUUUAUAAACAAGACUAUUUUGUUCUUGUCUUGAUGACAUAAGAAUAUUGAUUCUAUGGUUAAGAAUAUAUGAUACCGUUUUAUAGUUAAGAAAUAUGCUAUUAUUUGGUUUGUUUGGUUUAUAAACAAGACUAUUUUGUUCUUCUCUUGAUGACAUAAGAAUAUUGGUUCUAUAGUUAAGAAUAUACAAUUUUGUUUGGUUUAUUAAGAAUAUUUUAUGGUUCUAUAUUUAAGAAUAUGUGAUAUUUCUUGGUUUGUUAAGAAUGUAUAUUAUUGUUAGAUUUGUUAAAUUUAUUUGGUUCUACGUUUGACAUUGCCUUUAAUGAUUUGUAGAACCAAGAAGAAACAAAAUUAUGAUCCUAUUAAUUUUGAAAUACUUGGUGAUCAUUCUAAUUGGGUGUUGGAGGAUUUCCCACCAUUCUUGACCAUUGAGGAGGUGGAAGCGCUACGCAAAGAUCUUGCUAGUAUGACAAUCCAACCUAUUUCAAAUGAUAUUAGUAUGAUGAAUUAAAUUUGGAUGAGGUUGAUGUUGAGGGAGAUGCACCACUUAACUCCGGAGAAAACAACCAAAGUAAUGAUAUCAUUAAUGGGGAAGAUGUUGCAAAUGCGAUUGAUUUUGUCGGAGAUGGUUUUGAUAUUGAAGGAGAUCCCAACAUUGAGAUAAUUUUACCUCCUUGGAACUAAAUUUAAUAGAAAUUUGAGUGUUUUGGUUCUAAAGUACUCAAUUAGUUUAUGUUGCAAUUAGACUUUGUAAUUUGUACUACUUUGUUAUGUGUAAUACUUAUGUUUAAAUUUGCACUAAAUUUGUGAUUUUUAA